rnacentral:rRNA from 1 species
UUAAAUUGAAGAGUUUGAUCAUGGCUCAGAUUGAACGCUGGCGGCAGGCCUAACACAUGCAAGUCGAACGGUAACAGGAAACAGCUUGCUGUUUCGCUGACGAGUGGCGGACGGGUGAGUAAUGUCUGGGAAACUGCCUGAUGGAGGG